UACGUAGGCAGCAAGCGUUGUUCGGAAUUACUGGGCGUAAAGAGUGUGUAGGCGGUGCUCUAAGUUCGGUGUGAAAUCUCCCGGCUCAACUGGGAGGGUGCGCCGAAAACUGGGGGUGCUGGAGCGCGGGAGAGGAAAGCGGAAUUCCUGGUGUAGCGGUGAAAUGCGUAGAUAUCUGGAGGAUACCGGUGGCGAAGGCGCAUCCGUGGACCGGCAUUGACGCUGAAGCGCGAA
rnacentral:rRNA from 1 species